CAUAUAAAUAAGCGGAGGAAAAGAAACUAACAAGGAUACCCCUAGUAACGGCGAGUGAAGCGGGUAAAGCUCAUCAUGUGAAUCUACACAGACGUCAUGUCUUGUGUCGAGUUGUAACGUAUAGAAGCAUUGUCGGGCGACGUUCCGAGCCAAGUCUCUUGGAAAGGAGCAGCAGAGAGGGUGAGACUCCCGUUCUUGCUUGGAAUGUGCGCUCAUGGCAGGUGUUUUCGACGAGUCGAGUUGCUUGGGAUUGCAGCUCAAAGUGGGUGGUAAAUUCCAUCUAAAGCUAAAUACCGGUGGGAGACCGAUAGCGUACAAGUACCGUGAGGGAAAGAUGCAAAGAACUUUGAAAAGAGAGUUAAAGAGUACCUGAAAUUGCUGAAAGGGAAGCGAAGGAAACCAGUGUUGUUUCGUAUCAUUCUUCCUGUGCUGCUUGCGGCAUGGGCGCUGUGAUGCGGAGUGUGCCAGCAUGGGUUUGGCUCGGGGCAAAUCGCUGUGCAGGAGGUAGCUCAAUUUCUGAGUGAUGACUGUGUGGUGCUGUUCUGGGCUGGAUCGAGGCUAGUCAUGUGCUCGUGAUGCUGGCGAAAUGGUUUUCUUUACCCCGUCUUG
rnacentral:rRNA from 1 species